UACGGAGGGUGCAAACGUUGCUCGGAAUCAUUGGGCGUAAAGCGCAUGUAGGCGGACUUUCAAGUCGGGUGUGAAAUCCCUCAGCUUAACUGAGGACGUGCAUUCGAAACUGAUAGUCUUGAAUAUGGAAGAGGGUCGCGGAAUUCCCGGUGUAGAGGUGAAAUUCGUAGAUAUCGGGAGGAACACCAGUGGCGAAGGCGGCGACCUGGUCCAAUAUUGACGCUGAGAUGCGAAAGCGUGGGGAGCAAACAGG
rnacentral:rRNA from 1 species